CUCUGGAAAGUGGCGGGUGCCCCAUCUGGUGCACGCCCACCGACGAAGUAAGCCGAAGUUCCUUUCGGCGAAUCUUUCAGGUCUCCGGACAGAG
rnacentral:ncRNA from 2 species